rnacentral:rRNA from 1 species
CUUAACACAUGCAAGUCGAACGAAGUCUUUCGAGACUUAGUGGCGGACGGGUGCGUAACGCGUAAGAACCUACCCUUGGGAGGGGGAUAACUAUCGGAAACGAUAGCUAAUACCCCAUAUGCUGAGGAGUGAAAGGGAGUGUAAACUCUCGCCUAGGGAUGGGCUUGCGUCUGAUUAGCUAGUUGGUGGGGUAAUAGCCUACCAAGGCCACGAUCAGUAGCUGGUCUGAGAGGAUGAUCAGCCACACUGGGACUGAGACACGGCCCAGACUCCUACGGGAGGCAGCAGUGAGGAAUUUUCCGCAAUGGGCGAAAGCCUGACGGAGCAAUGCCGCGUGGAGGAUUACAGCCCAUGGGUUUUAAACUCCUUUUCUCGGAGAAGAAGCAGUGACGGUAUCCGAGGAAUAAGCAUCGGCAAACUCCGUGCCAGCAGCCGCGGUAAUACGGGGGAUGCAAGCGUUAUCCGGAAUGAUUGGGCGUAAAGCGUCUGUAGGUGGUAGUUGAAGUCUGCUGUUCAAGACCAGGGCUUAACCCUGGACCGGCAGUGGAAACUCAGCUGCUUGAGUGCGGUAGGGGCAGAGGGAAUUCCCGGUGUAGCGG